AUUUAUUUUUACUUGACAAACUUUUUUUUAUGCUCUUUUGUAAGUGUCAAAGCACCUAAGGAAAUGUGUUAAACUGGAGAAAGUGAGAAGUAUGCAAUGAGACCAGUUCCUGAGGUAAGGGGUAAGAGUUACAAAGAGAGACAAGAGGAAUUGAAUUUAACAACCCUGGAGAACAAAAUGACCAAAGACUAAAGCAUACAAAAUGCUCAGAGGACUUGAUAGGGCAGAUGACAGGUUGUUUGAGAAGCUGGAUACAGGUAAUUGAGGGCACAGGAAGUAUUUUUUCAGUCAGGGUGGUAAUUAGGAUGAUCUCAACUUGGUGGUGGAGGUAGACUCUAUACAUAGUGUUAAUAAUAGGUAUGACAGACUUGACUGAAUAUGGCAGAUUGGACCAGGAGCUGAGACUUGACCCCUGCAAUCAGAGAAGAGUACAGAGGCCAAUUUUGGCCACAAGAAUUUUUUUCUUGUACAUUAGCCUAGUAAGUAUAAUUUGAGUAGUUUUAGUUCUAUCUUCAACACAAAUUUUAUGAUUUUGCAGGGAAUAAAUUGAUGAAUAUAUUGUGUAGGUAACUGAUAAUUAGAAACCUAUUGUUCAUUUUAUACUGUAGUUAUUUGACUUCCACUAUUCAUAAAGGUCUCUCUCUCAACACAUGUACAUCGUUUUAUGAUAAUGGAAUUACUGAUUGCAGUUAAUGAAACAAUAGCUGAAUUUUGUUCAUUGGAAUGAAUAUAAUGUUAUUGGUAGAAAGCAGAUGUUUAUACUGUGUAUUUUACAGAGAAGUGUUUCAAGAAGAGGAAGAGCAGCCGUAAUCAUGGACGAGAAAGAAGAGGAAGAGCAACGGUAACCAUCUGCACUAAAAAUGAUGGAUACAUGCUGAAUGAGCAAGAAAGUUUUUAAGACGAGAAAGAAGAGGAAGAGCAACGGUAACCAUCUGCACUAAAAAUGAUGGAUACAUGCUGAAUGAGCAAGAAAGUUUUUAAGUAAGUUUAUACCUUUAGUAAUAGAUACCUCUGGUGUUACGAACUAAUGUGGGGAGGGGGGGGAUGUUUGUUUAAAGGAAAACAUGUUGGAUUGAGGCACCCAUGUUCUACCGGAGAAAAUACAUAUGCAGUGGAUUUAGCCUUCUGAUUGAUGGACUUUGCAGAACAUCUUAACCUUUUCAAUUUCAAUGUCAUAUUAGGCUUGCAAGCCGGUGUUUGUGCCAUAUUACGCCAAAAUUCUAGCGGUUUCAAAUCUAGCGAGAGAAAGCUGGUAGACCUACAUGUGAAAGAACGGAUCUGCAUGGUCAGUGUGUGCAGUAUAAUAAAAAUCCUGCCACAUGCAGUGCAUAACUCCAAAAAUUUUUCUUAUUUUCAACAAAAUUUGUUAAUUUCUCACCCACUCUCAUUACAAGUGACCAAAAAAUAACCCUGCACUCGAUGCAGGAAGGGGCAAAUUUCUGCCGUGACAUUUUUAAGUAUUCACAGGACUUUGCCCAUGUACAUUGGCCUAAGACAUAAUUUAAAUAGCUUUAACACAAACUUUAACAUACUUUUCCAGGUAAUAAUAUGAAGAAUAUUGUAUUGUGUGGGUUACUCAAAUUUCAAAAUAUAUUGUUCAGUUUAUACUGUAAUCAUUUGACUUGCACUCUUAAAGUCGUGAUAUAAAUCUAAAGCCUUGCUGAAACCUUUGAUGAUAAUGGAAUUACCGAUUGACAUUAAUGAAACACUCGCUGGCUGAAUUUUGUCUUAUUGUAACAAAUAUGAGAUAAUUAUUUGGUAGAAAGGCUCCUUGUUGUGGUGAAGAGGCUCUUGGUCUGAGGAAUCAGACCUGUCGGUCUCCUUCCUCAGACCGAACCUAAUUACCCCCCCCCCCCCCCUUUCCCAUCCUUCCCUUUUUCCUUUCCUCCUCCUCCCCACCCCUCCCUUUUGCCCUUCCUCUUUUUGGCCUUUGGGAUUUCUCCCACAGGCGCGCUAGUUCCUAGGUAGGGGAAAGGAUUCCGGGGUCCAUCCCAUUCCGUUGAGAUUCUUGGUGGUGGCGUAGUUUGCCGUGGAAUCUGGAUCGCCUGUGGAUGUCCCAAUCCCUCUCCGAUAUCCUGGAGUAGCUUUGGGUGUCUUUCUGGCGAUGAGUGUAUCUCUGGAAGCCACCUUUCGGAUUCCGGGGGUGGUGGCCAAAGGAGGUAUGCUUUGUGGCGGAUAUCCGGCCGCCCUCUCUUUUGUCCACCAAGGUAGCUCGGCAGAUGUGAGGUUGCUGUCCCGGAUUGCUGGUUUACUGGCAUGUAGGGUAGGGUAUGGCACGGCAUGGGUUCCAUGCUGCAUCUGCGCUACUAGCGGUGCUGAGGUCCUCUUGGGCGAGGAGGGAGAUUUCCGGCCUUUUUAUUCCUCCUGGGAACUAUUCCUCCCCGCUCCCCUUUUUUUAUUUUUUUUUUUAUUUUUAUUUUCUUUUCUUUCUUGGUUUUCCCUAAAAACAAAAAGCAAACUAGUAACCUAACCAUGGAGAACCCAAUCGUUGAACCCACUACCCCCGGGCCCCUUCUUGAUACCGCACCCCAUUCUGACCCUGCCUUGUUUUUAGACCACUCUUUGGACACUCCUGAUGCCCCUGUACCUCUUGCUGGUGCUGGUUCUUCACCCGCUUCAGGUACCGGGGCUUCAACUGACUCCUUCGAUUUGUCUGACCUUCGCUCUUUUUUGACUAUGCUUCCGGCCUCUCCCUCCACGGUACGGCAAUUUUCGAAUCGCCAGCCCAUUUCACACCGGACCAACUCCGGUCCUACUCCUAAACGCCAACAUCAAUCUCCUGAUGAUGCUCCUUCGUUACCUUCCCAUACUACUCGGAAAAGACAGACACGUCAUGCACUCCCUCUCCAUGCUCAGUUUCGGACCACACAAUGGACUAAAUUCUUUACUUUAAGACAGACUUUUUCUUCUGCUUACCUUUCUGACCAUAGUAUUGGCAAAGCGCUCAUACGUCAUGUUGGUAGAGAUAUUUCAUUUCAUGCUCUCAAGAGCGAUAUGCGCAUCGUCACUGUCCAGAAUGUUUACCCAAGCUCAUGAUC